GCCCCUAUGGUCUAACGGAUAUGACGCGACCUUGCGGAGGUUGAAGCCCGGGUUCAAUUCCUGGUAGGGGCG
rnacentral:tRNA from 1 species